rnacentral:rRNA from 1 species
GUGCCAGCAGCCGCGGUAAGACGUAGGGUGCGAGCGUUGUCCGGAUUUACUGGGCGUAAAGGGCGCGUAGGCGGCUCGUUAAGUGUGAAGUGAAAUCCCUAGGGCUCAACCCAGGAACUGCUUUACAUACUGGCGGGCUUGAGGAUUGGAGAGGCUUGUGGAAUUCCUGGUGUAGCGGUGAAAUGCGUUGAUAUCAGGAGGAACACCCAUGGCGAAGGCAGCAAGCUGGCCAAUUUCUGACGCUGAGGCGCGAAAGCGUGGGUAGCAAACAGGAUUAGAUACCCUGGUAGUCC